CGGAGCUCGUAUGGACGAGUUUACGGGAUAAAAACGGGGCUCCGGGAAGGCCUGUUUUGGAUACCCGUUUAAGUGAGAAAAUGUUUUAUUUAUAAAUACCUUUUUACUCUUUUUCUUUUAUUUUCCCCCUCGCCGUUUCUUUCUUCCCCGCACCCUCACUCGAGCCUCGCCCGCGCCUCUUCUGUUCCUCUCGCCGAACUCGGCACCGAGCCUUCUUCCCCGCCAAAUGCUGUGCCCUAACUGCCACUCGGCGGUUCCUUCUCCUCGUCGCGUGCCCUAGUCCUUACCCGUGCCUAUUUCAUUUCGGCGCUGAUCUUUUUCCUUCCCUAAGUCUUGACGCCGUGCCCUAGUUUUUUCUUCUCGCCGCGAGCUCUCGCCGGCUGAACCCUUCUUCCCUUCUGUUUUCUACCUCCGGCCGCCGAGCAAAGCUGUCUUCUAUGUGCCCUAGCCGCGAGCCACCCGAGCACCAUCGCACCUCUGUCCUAGGUGACGGCCAAAGGGGGAAAGGACCGUUCCCUAGAUCUAUUCCUCACUGCCGCACGAAACAGCGCCACCAGCCGGUCUCAUCGGGCCCUAGCAUUGUCGCCGGAUCCUUGAUCACCUCUGAUCAGUGGAGAGGAAGAAGCAGGGAGAUUGUACUAGGUGGGUAGUUCUUGGUCCGACCCAUCUUGAUCCAGCGUUAACAGUGGCUAGGUAGUGAGGUUAACCAGAGGUAUUUGGUUGGAACGACAGCAGGCGUCUUCGGCAGUGACUCAACAGCCGAAUAUGCAUAUUUGGGUGAGUUUUGGAUUGAGGUAAAUGCAUUGUUGUUAGUAUAAAUGGAUUUUGGAGUUAGUAAAUCUAUUAUGGUUUGUGUAAUUUGGAUUGGUUGAAUAUCAUGAUGGAAUGUAUGUCGUUAGGCUCAUUGAAUUGAUUUUUCAUACGUGGAGUGUUUGAUUAUUGAUCGAGGAUCAUUGGAUUUAUUCGAUGAGUUAGGAAUGUUGGAUUAAACCUGACUCAAUCAAAUGGAUUGGAUGAAUCGAAAUUUAUCGUUGCAUUGAGGUUUCCUUAAUUGGUUUUAGGGAUUUUAUUUAGCUAUUUAACCCAUGUGAAUUUAGCUAAAUAAAAUAUAUUGAUACAGGACUCUGAUUCGAGAUGAGCAUCUCAACGUCGGAU